UACGUAGGUGGCAAGCGUUGUCCGGAUUUACUGGGCGUAAAGAGCGCGCAGGCGGCUUCUUAAGUCAGGGGGUGAAAUCCUGGAGCUCAACUCCAGAACUGCCUUUGAUACUGAAGAUCUUGAGUCCGGGAGAGGUGAGUGGAAUUCCGAGUGUAGAGGUGAAAUUCGUAGAUAUUCGGAGGAACACCAGUGGCGAAGGCGGCUCACUGGCUCGGUACUGACGCUGAGGUGCGAAAGCGUGGGGAGCAAACAGG
rnacentral:rRNA from 1 species